rnacentral:lncRNA from 1 species
CACAUAAGGUGUGUGCUACGAUCGAAUAGGAGAAAGGAAAAAGGGGGUGUGAACCCUAAACCUCAAGAAAUCAUCAAAUUGAAAAGGGAAUCAAGGGCUGAUUGUAUGCAUGAACCAAGGAUGAUGAUCCCUUAAGCAUUUCUAACAUCAACGUAGGAGCCAUGUCAACAUGGACACGAGCAUGGAAGGGCAAUGGGUCAACGGUAAAUACGGAAGCUAUGCAUGAACUCGGACGCACGAGGUAGCGUUAGUUAAUUGAGCAUGGUGAUGAUUGAAGUUUGAUAUGGUUUUGGUUGUAUGAAAUCGGUUAUUUUAGCUAAGUAGACCGAACGGGACAAUAUAAAGUUGUAAUGAUAUGACAGAUUGAUGUAGUGCUACGGUAUUGUAACCGGGUAAUGGGUAGAAUUGCACAUAAGUGCGCCAACCGAGAAUGGGGACUUAGGUUAAUGGUCAAAAGACUUAGCUUUUGACCUUAAAUAAAAGAAUGGUUUAACAAAAUACGAACAGGUCGAAUAAAUGUGCAUAAACUUCAUAAUGCUAAUGAAAUGCGUAAAGAUUAAGGAGCCGGGUAAGGGCGUUUAGCCCAUAAUGUAAGGACAAGUCUUACGGACAACUAGAAAUAAUUGUGAGCAAUUUGAUUAAGGAAUGUCCGAGAUACGCAAGUUUUAAUAAUAAAAAUAUGAAUGGGUUGAAUAGUCGAAACGAGUAUGUAGAGCCGAAGGCUUUAAGUUAAGAUUUUUCCUUGUUUGGAUGUUAUAUUACAAGCUCAUAUGUUAGAAAAUCGAUUUACCAACGCAUAGGAAAAAGAAUCAUGCUAAUCAGAUUCGUAGAUCAAAACUUAUGCAAAUUGUAAGUCGAAAAUACCCUUGGAAUUCAUAGCUGGGAAUUUACAGCAGCAAAUUGGAAGUUUCUGUCGAAAUAGAGCUGUCGCGCCUCGCGAGCGCCAGUCAGCUGGCAAAUUUUGGUUUUCUUGUUUGAUUUUGCAUCCGGACUCGAUGUUUUAAUGAUUUUCGAUGUCCCUUAACUUAUAUUAAAGCCGGUUUGAAACACGAGUGAUGUUAUGAGCCUCCGGAUAAUGAAAGUAUGUAUUUUUCUUCGUGUUAGAGAAGAAAGAUUAUAAGUAAUCGAGACUAGAAAUGAGUGGGCAUGCAGUAUGGUAAGUAUAAAACUUAUAUCACGGAAGUUGCGAUUAUGAUAAGAAAUGCGAGAUUAAGUGAAUAAAAGUAGUAAGCGAGGGCUCGCGUCUAUGUGUGUGUAUGUGAAUGUGUGCGUAUGUAUGUAGGUGUAUAUGUUGUAUGUAUGUAGGAAUUAGGAACGUAUACGUUUGUGGAUGCGAGAUGUUAUAAGUAUAUAAAGGAAUGGUUUGGACUGGUUUCAUUAUGUUCUAGCAUUAAUGUUUGCUAAUCGUGUGUUUGAGAUUGGAAUGAAAUGCAGGUACAUGAACACCGGGUUCAUGAAGUAUCGAAGUCGAAUUCGGAACAAGAAAAUACGAAAGGAUAGUUGAAUGAAUUAAAGUUCCUACUGUUAAAUGUUAUUCAAUAUUGGACUAUAUGAGAAUCAUGUCGUAUGAUAUUGUUAAUGACUAAUGGUUAUGAUGUAUGCGAUGUCCACAGGUAUUGCACGGAUUACCGCUACUACUACCGAAGAUAAGCAAGCGUUGAUCGAGUCACAGAGCUAGGGUUGUACGGAAAUAUGUAUUGUCUUGAAGCGUUAUUUUAAUGUGGUUAUUGUAAAUCCCUUUUGUAAAUGUUUAUCAUUUGUAUUUGAGCCUUCAAGUAAGUAAUGUGUCUAAAUAAGAAAGAAAUUUUUGGGCUCGUAUUUUUCCGCUGUGUCAUAUUUAAGUUCUUACAAGUUGGUCUUACAGGGAAUCGUUCAUUAUACGAACGGGUCAUGCCCGAAUUUUGUAAAUAAUAAUACUUAUUUUGGAGUAAGAAAUAUGGGCGUUACAAUGUU